rnacentral:rRNA from 1 species
UUGCACGCUGGCGGCAUGCCUUACACAUGCAAGUCGAACGGCAGCAUGAUCUAGCUUGCUCGAUUGAUGGCGAGUGGCGAACGGGUGAGUAAUACAUCGGAACGUGCCCUGUAGUGGGGGAUAACUAGUCGAAAGAUUAGCUAAUACCGCAUACGACCUGAGGGUGAAAGUGGGGGACCGCAAGGCCUCAUGCUAUAGGAGCGGCCGAUGUCUGAUUAGCUAGUUGGUGAGGUAAAGGCUCACCAAGGCGACGAUCAGUAGCUGGUCUGAGAGGACGAUCAGCCACACUGGGACUGAGACACGGCCCAGACUCCUACGGGAGGCAGCAGUGGGGAAUUUUGGACAAUGGGCGAAAGCCUGAUCCAGCAAUGCCGCGUGUGUGAAGAAGGCCUUCGGGUUGUAAAGCACCUUUGUCCGGAAAGAAAUGGCUCUGGUUAAUACCUGGGGUCGAUGACGGUACCGGAAGAAUAAGGACCGGCUAACUACGUG